rnacentral:rRNA from 1 species
AUGGCGACUCAUGUGACAAGAACCUGGGGGGUCUACCGAAGCAAGGCUCUUAAUUUUAUCUUAGCCACGACCCCACUAACGCACGUCCCACGUUCCAAUCUCCCCAGACGACCUCGUCGCCAUUCCCCUCCCUCCCGAGAGAAAUCUCCUCACUCUUCCCGUCGCCUCCGCGUGCCAUGGACGACACAUCGUCUCGCCGGCCGCCGUCACCUGAACCCAACCAGCCCUCCGCUCCCGCCCAGAUUCGACCACUAUUCUCAAUUCGCUGCGGCAUGCCUCGCGUGGCCAAUCCAUGUCUCCCACCGGCGAUCAGUAGGUGUGCGGCCCCGCCGCCGCUGGCUCUCGUGGUUGCGACGUAUCCUCCCCGGCUCCCUCCUCCUCCUCACCCAAGCCGCACCUCCGUCCACGCGAUGCCGGCCGACGGCUCCCACUUCGACUCCUGAUUAUAGUUGCUGCCUUUUGCAAUGUAGCGAUGACGUCGUAUGUUUUGGGGUCCAGAUUUAUAUCACAACAAUGCCCUAUAGGGAGGGAAUUAGCUGCGCAAGGGAAGAAACCUCAAAGAUUUUACUGAAUGUCACGCAGAUUGGUUUGGUACAUGAAAACCUUAAUCACACUCCUUUUAGGACAAAAAAGAAGAUGGGGAGCUAUCAGCUUAUAUCUGAUGAUGCAAAGUCCAAUUGGUGGCUGGCCCUUCUGUGUCUUAUUAGUCGUUGGAUGUUAGUUCUUAAUUUUUCCCCCUUUGAACUAAUGAUUCAUGAAAUGGACGAUGUAGACAAUAUCAUGACUGGUUGGGCGAUGACGCAGCCUAGCAACACUAAGGAGAGACUGCCUGCUUCUGCGCUAAGUCGCUGCUGGAGCAUCGGCUCCGUCUUCUCCACGCCGCCGGCGCCCUCGCUCGGGCGUGAUCUCGUGGUCCACACCGCGGCGCCGCCGUCCGCUGCGGACUCCGCAGGCGUCGUCCCGCCGCUCCUGCCGCAAGCGGAUCACACCGCCCCGCUGGCGGGGUUGGCGGCGUCCGCCCCGGCUGCGGGCCUUGCGGCGUCCGCACCAGCCGUGAGCUUUGCGGCGCCCGCCCUGGCUGCGGUCCCGCCUCCUUCCGCAUCGGCUUCGGUGCCUCCGGCUGCCUCCAUGUUGAUCCGUGAGCAAGGGCGAGAUGGCAUUAGCCCAUUGCCUGAAAAAGAAGAUGAGAGUAGGGAAGAAGAAGAAGAAGAUGAUGAUGAUGAGGUGGAGGAGAGUGGUGGUGGGCACAUCCUCGCUUCAGCGCUGAACAGGAAAACCUCCCCGCCACCAUUAGGGAGCUCUUGGUUGCACCGCAAGCUGCAAGCCCUUGUCAAAUCACUCUUGUCGCUUAACGGCUAUGGCCUCUCGCUGGUCAAGAUGGAUCAUUUUGUGCAGGUCGGCCUCGCCCACUUCUGUCCUACUGCUACAUUUUGA